AUAAUGUUGAUGUCUUGUGUAAAGCAUGCAGUAUAUAUCGUGACACUCUACUGGGUUGUACACACAUUGAUCCAUUCAUGUAUACUACCUUAGCUGCAUUCAGCAUGUGUGUGUAUAAAACACUGUUUCUGCCUAGAGACACGCUUGCUCUCACGUAUGAUGGUGCAUUCGUCGAGCAGAAUAAGACGUUUUCUAACAUCUCUAUUGAAUGGCUUCAAUACGUGGCCCAUACUACCAACACAGUGGUAAAACAUGCUCUCAGAGGCGGCGAACAGCGGAUUGGUCCAUAUUUUGAGCCCACAAGUAAUACGGCAUAUGAAUUUGCUGGAUGUUUUCACCACAGUUGUGUUAAAUGCUACCCCGGGAGUGAAGUUAACCAUGUCAGCAGAGCAUCCAUUGGACUGCUGCAUUGCAUAUUUUGUGAUAAAGUGGAUGCAUUGAGAUAACUCAGUAUGAGCAUGGUUGUGAUGUGGGAGUGUGAAUGGGCUGCCUUGAAGCAGACAGACCCCACAGUUGUGGCUUUCAUGCACACAUACAGAAAGCCAGAACGCCUGAAUCCAUGAGAUGCCCUCUUCGGUGGGCGCACAAACGCUCUAAAGCUGUACCACCAGACUACAUGUGAUGGAAAAAAUAUUACUACGACUUCAGUCUAUCCCACAGUGCAGUCUUUUUUUAAAAAAAAAAAAACAAAAAACAAAAAACAAAAAACCAAAAAAACAAACAUCCUUUAGGACACCUGCAAAUCAUUUACAACAACCUUGACAGGCUAGAAAAUUAUUUCGGCUUUGUACACAGCACUGAUAUAUAGAGAAAGUCUGAACGAUAGAGAGAUCUGUUUAUUCAAGAAAAAUCCAGUAGAACUAUUUCCUUGAACACUAACUACCCUAAUAUUGUUUAAUAAUCCAUGAGAUAAAUAUCAGGUCAUCCUUUCACAGCGAAGAGGUGAAAGGAUGUCAUCACACAUGCGGAGGAAUCUGUCUCUGUUUGAGUUGAUAUACAAAGCUCGCCCUACUGUACAGAGUUAUUAUUAGUAAUGCAAACUUAGAUUUCAUCAAUGCGUUGUGUGAGAGCCUUUAACGUAUUGCAAGGCAACAUUCCGCUGACCAAUCAGCAGUACAAACAUCUAAAAAUGAAAGGGGGGGUCCAAUAACAGUCAAUAAUCAGACUGAUUUGAUCUUUUUUCUCAGCAAUUUUGAAAAAGAGAGACAAUCAAAUAAUCUGGUGGGUUUUGACUACCGUUAUUAGGGGCUGCAA
ensembl:lncRNA